UUGAUCCUGGCUCAGGAUGAACGCUGGCGGCGUGCCUAAUACAUGCAAGUCGAGCGAACAGACAAGGAGCUUGCUCCUUUGACGUUAGCGGCGGACGGGUGAGUAACACGUGGGUAACCUACCUAUAAGACUGGGAUAACUUCGGGAAACCGGAGCUAAUACCGGAUAAUAUUUCGAACCGCAUGGUUCGAUAGUGAAAGAUGGUUUUGCUAUCACUUAUAGAUGGACCCGCGCCGUAUUAGCUAGUUGGUAAGGUAACGGCUUACCAAGGCGACGAUACGUAGCCGACCUGAGAGGGUGAUCGGCCACACUGGAACUGAGACACGGUCCAGACUCCUACGGGAGGCAGCAGUAGGGAAUCUUCCGCAAUGGGCGAAAGCCUGACGGAGCAACGCCGCGUGAGUGAUGAAGGUCUUCGGAUCGUAAAACUCUGUUAUUAGGGAAGAACAUACGUGUAAGUAACUGUGCACGUCUUGACGGUACCUAAUCAGAAAGCCACGGCUAACUACGUGCCAGCAGCCGCGGU
rnacentral:rRNA from 1 species